rnacentral:tRNA from 1 species
GCGCGGCCUGUGGUUGUCGAAAAACGGAUUCAAAAUCCGCCGCACGCAAGUGCUUGUCGGUUCGAGUCCGACCGCCGGUACCA